UGAAAUACUACAUACCUAAGCAUCAACAACUUCAAAAGCAACAGGAAAACAAUGCAAUUGGUAGCUAAAAGACCUAUUUAGUUUAGUCAGGGAAACCUAUGAUUACGAGGCUUAUCUGAAGCCUCUAACAUGAUGGUUAUCUGAAGAAAAGGAAAAAGGAAAACAUGAUAUUGAGCCUGUUAAUCAUCAUAAAGGGUAAUUCCAUGUGUACAGAAUAUUAUGGACAAG
rnacentral:misc_RNA from 1 species